rnacentral:rRNA from 1 species
CCCUUAGAUGUCCUGGGCCGCACGCGCGCUACACUGAUGCAUGCAACGAGUUUAUAACCUUGGCCUGAAAGGUCUGGGUAAUCUUUUGAACGUGCAUCGUGAUAGGGAUAGAUUAUUGCAAUUGUUGAUCUUGAACGAGGAAUUCCUAGUAAACGCGAGUCAUCAGCUCGCAUUGAUUACGUCCCUGCCCUUUGUACACACCGCCCGUCGCACCUACCGAUUGAAUGGUUCGGUGAAGAUCUCGGACUUCGAUAUUUAUUCUUUAUUGAGUUUAUAUUGUGGGAAGUUAUCUAAACCUCAUCAUUUAGAGGAAGGUGAAGUCGUAACA